GAAGGGCUGGUUAUGAGUAAUGUGAUACAAUUUUAUGAGAUGAUGAGAUUACAAUAACAAUACCUCCUCUCAUAGAAUAGCCAGCAAGUCUCCACUAAAUAACAGUGCCUUGAUUUUAUAGAUGUUUCAUCAUGGAUAUUGAGUUAAUGUGAACCAUUUGUAGACACAGGAGUUUAUUAAAGACUUAUAUAAUAUCUUUCAAGUAUUUAGAAUAGUGUUGAAAUUAAGCCUGCAUCCCCACGAUUUUCAGCGGUGCUGAUGCCUAAUAAACUCAACCCCUUGCAUGCCAAAAUUGGCUUAAAGCCCAUCUGUUACCCAAGCUACACUUCAAGCAUCGAGGUUCAAAAAUGUGAUUUUGAAUAUGCAAGAGUUUGAGGAAUUCACUACUCACACUUUCUUGAACAGUCUAUCCAAGUGCAUCAAGCAAAAUGUGAGUAAAGAAAUUUUGAGCAAAGGAUUGAUAGUAAUGUUGAAUACAUUUAAUAGUAGAUCAAAGAUUAAAAGGUGAAAGUGAGGGUGAGAAGAGUGUAUGAAUGCUUUGUGUUCUGACAAAGAGAAUGUAGCACCCAGGUCCUACCUGCUUGGAUGCAUUGCCAGUGCCCACGGUAGGCCAUUUUAUCCAGGUUUUUAGGUAUUGUCUUAUUUUGUUUGUUUUUUUUCUUUUCAGGAGUCUUAGUCCAAGACCAAUAACUCCGUAACUGGUAGAUUUGGAAGACUUUAAUAGUGCUUAACAUUUUGUACAUAGCUUUAUAACAGUUUUCUUUUUCUUUUUUUCUGAGAGAUUCUUUUCAAUAUACCCCAUCAUGGUUGAACUCAAAAAUCAUUGCUUAUUUAAAAUCUACAACUGCUGACGUUUUGUAACGUUCGCAUUCCAGAUACAACAGAGAAAUGCAUAAUGUCCAGUCAAUUUAUUAAAGUUCCAAAGUCGGUCGCGCGCAGUGGCUCACGCCUGUAAUCUCAACACUUCGGGAGGCCGAGGCGUGUGGAUCACGAGUAUGUUUCCAGUCUCAAUAGAAAUCGAUGCCAAUCCAGAAAUACAAGCAUUAUUCUAAUACUUCUCACACAUUACUGGAGUGAGGACACAGCGAAAGUGAGACAAGGAAAAGAGAACAAAAUAAAACAGGAAAGACAGAAAAGCCAAUACCACACGUGUUAAGAGGUAAGUUCCUGUGUUAGAUAUCUGGGCUUAAUUUUAUGGGAAGCUAUGUGGAGCAUGCCUCAGAAUUACAUCACUGAAUCCAGGGAGAUUCUUCUUAGUUACCCUCACCUUUUCUUCCCACUUCAUGCCCAGUAACAAGCUCCCGUGCUGCUAGAGAAAGUCCUCAGCUAGAAACUGGUGCAAAUUCUGGAGAUGAGACCUUGUAGAGUGUUAAGAAUGGUUUUCUUCCCAGCAGCUACAGCUAAGGAAUAGGGGCUGGGCUAUGAAUACAUCUGCUACAAACCAAUAAAGCCCUUAUGCUCCUUUUGGUGAUCGACAAUGUAUUUAAAAAUAUUAGAUGAUCAAGAAGGGCUGCAGAAAGGAGGAAACAGAAACAAACAGCACACCUCUUG
rnacentral:lncRNA from 1 species